CUAGUUGCAGACAUUUCAUAUUGCUAAAUCCUGCAGAGAAGUACAGGACUUAACAAAUGGUGUAGCACUGGCAUAUGUUCUUCAUGAAAUCGAUCCUGCUUGGUUUGACAAAACUUGGCUAAGCCGUAUUAAAGUAGAUGCUGGUGAAAGCUGGAGAAUAAAGGCUAGCAAUUUGAAGAAGAUUCUUCAAGGAAUUAUGGAUUAUUAUCAUGAGUUUUUGGCUCAGCAAAUCUCAGAAGAUCUUCUUCCUGAUUUAAACCAAAUAUCUGAACAUUCUAAUCCAGUAGAGCUUGGCAGGUUAUUGCAGCUCAUUUUAGGCUGUGCAGUCAACUGUGAAAAGAAGCAAGAACAUAUACAAGUUAUAAUGACACUA